rnacentral:tRNA from 1 species
GGCUCCGUGGCUUAGUGGUUACGGCUUCUGCCUCACAAGCAGAAGGUUCAGGGACAAAUCCCAGCCGGUACCU